GUGCUCGCUUCGGCAGCACAUAUACUAAAAUCGGAACGAUACAGAGAAGAUUAGUAUGGCCCCUGCGCAAGGAUGACAUGCAAAUUCGUGAAGCGGUCCAUAUUUUU
rnacentral:snRNA from 1 species